CACAGCAAGGCUGUGUUUGCCUGCAGCCCUGUCCUGUCCUGGGACAGCAGGUCAGUCCCAAACAUCUCCCAUUUACCCACUGCUGCCUCGGCCUUCUGGGCUUCCAUUGCUACAGCAAUGAAUCAAGGGACUUCUGACAGCCCUGGAGAUAAGGAGGAAAACCAGAACCAAAUGUAAACUACAGCUCUGCUGCAUGGAUCAGAAAGGUCCUGCUGUCUACAGCCAAAAAUAGCUGCACUUUCUUGGUGCUUUGACACUUCUGUAACCAGAUCAACCAGGCAAGAAAAUGGAAAAUAAUCAAAAAAUCAAUGUGCACCACUUUUUCAAAGUUUAAUUUGGUUUGGGUUGGGUAGGGUUCUAGUUUGUGUUAGGUCAGGUUAGACUGAAGCUUUUGCCAUACAAAUAAGUAAUUUAAAAGGAUAAUAAAGGCAAUUGGAUGAUGCAUUACAGACUGUGUUCCCAGCUCUAUCCCUCAGUAAUCUCUUCAACUGGCCCAUGCUUCUCUUGAUUACUUUAUGAAGCUACUUAUAUUACUGUCUGUGGAUAUAUGAGAUGUUUCUGAUAGAUAUCAAAGGCUUGUGAAUUUUACAUGAAAGAUAUGGUAAAAAUACAAAACCCAUGCCCACUUAGGAACAACAAAUGUUUUUUGCCCUCCUUAACACUGCUAGAUGCAACAGUAGCCACUGACAACAAAUGCUAAUUUCUAGUACGUGGAAUUUUCAGCUCAUCCCUCCUCAGGAGCUGUGUAACAGGAUUUUGUGCUUUGUUGAGAGCUGGAGAGCAGGGCAGUAGUUCUGGGAUAUGGGAGAUUAAAUUCAGUUCUCCCUUCAGCUCGAGGUUCACUGUGGCACUCUGGAAAAUUACUUGCUUUGGCCAAGACUCCCUUUUAUAAACUUUAAAGGAGAGCAAUAGCACACCUUCCCUGCCUAAAGCUGAUGGGAAGAUAACUACACUGAGAAUUUCAGAGUGCUGAGCUCUGAUGGAAAGUGAGAAAAGGCAGAAGAGUUGUUUGUCCUUAGAGGAGGAACCAAUUAAAGAAUUUCCUCUGGUGUGAACUCCAGCUGUUUGGACGGAACUAUCUAAUAUACAGCGCCCUACAUCUUACCUAUGAGUGCUGGUCCUGGAGCAGGGUGCUGUGGGGCUGGUCCCCAGCCUAGCCCUCCCUGGGACAGCUGUGUCUCAUCCCAGCAAUGAAAACAUCAGCUAAACACUGCAGGUCAGGAUAAACUGAUUGAACAAGGUUUCCUGUAGGAGAAGAGAGGGGAAGAGAAAAACCAAUCCUGCUCCUAUUUUUCAACAAUAGGUAUGGAGUGACACAGCAGCACACAGGCUGCCCUUGAACACAGCACAGGAGAGCGCCUGUGGUGCCUCUUUCCAGGCCUUAACAGCAGAGCCAUCCCAUUGUUUUCCCUCAAACACCUGAUGCUACAAAGGGACCAAUUUCAGCUGCCACUGAGUGUCAGUGAUUGCUCCCCAGCCUGCAAGCCCUGUGCUGUGCCUGUAUUGGCAAACAGGGAACACUCCUGGCUGAAAUACAGAGCAGUGCUGGCUCUGCUGAAAGCCCAAGCACCACUGGGACAUUUCUCCAGGUCUGACUUUCCUCACUCAUCACCGCAUGAGAGCGCUGCGGAAAUUUGGGGGAUGUGCAUGGAGGGCAUAUGGGUUAAUUUUCAUCAGCUGCACAGGAUUUACACCGAAAGGAUGCUGUUUACACCAAAAGGAUGCUGUUUACACCAAAGGAUGCUGCUGGCUUUGGUUGGAAGGGUGAAUGUUAUCUAAGAAGUGACCCUGAGGCCACUGGGGAUGUGGUGGUAGCACCUACCCAUGUUUACUGAAAACAGCUCCUUGUGCCCCCACUGGAGGAAGCAGCAGCAGGAGCCCUGUCACAUUCUGUUUCUCAGGGUCUAUCUGCUCAGUGUUAAGCAUAAUUAACUUCAGUCAUAUCUAAUUAGCUGCUCUUUGACCAGGAGGUGUAUCUCAGAUGGAUGCUCACUGUAAAGAUUUUUUUCUCCUGUAUUCAUCAAGAAUUCAAGAGCAGAUUGAAAUAAUCAUGCAGCUCACUUCUGCAGAGAGGUGCAAAUGCCUGCUGAAAGGGCUGACCUUCACCAUGCUGCAGUGGCAAGCAAAAUGCUGCCUUAGAGGUGGCUGCUCAAGGCUCUUAUGGCUUCAGGUACUUUACUUACUGAUUGUGUAGGCAUUUACACAGUGCAUUAUGCAUUAGUUUCAUUACAAAAUUAAUGAAGAGCAUUCGAUAGAUCCCAGGAUUUCUUCUGUCAGUAAAAGGAGUUUUUUCCACAACUUUUCUUCCAUGACCUUUAGUUUGUCAUGUGAAGUGCUAUCAUCAGGAACAGCAAGAACAUUAUAUUCAUGUGGAAAGAAGAGUACAAAACAUUCAUAUAGAAUAGUACUUUGGGACUAAAAGUGUCCUGCAUAGGAAUAUUUGUGAGAUACAUGUGUGCCAGGGAAAUAUCAGAAACCCAGGAGCUGAGGGUAAUAGCACUAGACUUUUUGAGUCCUUUAUUUAUUUAUGAUGUCUAGACAGACAAUGAUUUCCCCUCAUUUUUCUGUUGAGAGCUGUGUCAGUUUGAACUGGGAGAGCCCAAUAAUUGUACUUAUAGCUGUAUGUGUGUUCUUGAUAUGCCUAUUUUUUCUCCCUUUUCUACCAUUUUUCUAAAGGACCAUAGCCCAGAGAAAUUAUUUUUUCAGGCCUAUCCUUGCCUUCUUUUCCUUUACUGCAUGAAAGACAUAGCUUAAGGCACUUAAGUCAGGUUGAACCUGAUUUUUUUCUAUUCCUUGGCACUCUUUAAUGCUGACUGCUGCCAUCUCUUUUGAGCAGUGUAGUACGUGCUUCCCUACCAGCUCCACACUCUGACAUAUGGUUACCAUCAACUUUAUAGAGGCCUGCAAGCACAAGGGAUUGUGCUCAUUGCUCCUGUUAUAAAGUGGGGCACAGAGUUUGUAACUCCUGCUGUGGGUCACCAGUUCAAAUGCAAGCCCAGGACAGGACUGGCCAGCCUUGGUGUGGGGACUUGGUGGCUUUUGUGAGGCUGGUUCCCUCAGCACAAUGAAGGAAGUUGUUUGAAGACAAAGACGAGAUAUUUAUGCUUCAUUCUGCACAAGUAGCAGCAGCUCUGUAAACUGGGUGAUCUGAGGUAGCUGCUGGUGGGGAAUGGUGGAGCCUUCUCCCCACGACAUCCAAGGCAUUCCUAGCAGGAGCAGUGAUGAUCACUGACACUCCCCAGCUGGUACCUGCUCACUAAAGCACAGUCCCAGCUGGCACUGCUCACAAAAGGCUCCUGGGCCACCAGGAUGGGAGGCAGAGGGGUCAGCAGCCCCUUUCUUACACUGAUAGUGAUGUUGGAAGGUGGACUUUCUCACAGAUGUUACACUCAAAGGGGCAGCAGGGUGUGGUGAGGGGAGGGACAGGUUCCAGGCAGGAUUUGGGGACAUAACCCUACAUGCCCCUCAAGCCCUGCAAGCCAGGAAUUUGUCUUUCAGAAACAAGGUCUCUCCCUUUCACGUUGGUUUUUUUCCCUUUUUGUUCCCUCUGGGCUCUGGAAACAUGCAUUUUAUUGCUACACAGCAACUUCCCUGAACUCUAUCUUGAAGAUUAAUGGUUUAUUGAAGAACAGGCAGGAUUUAGAUUGUCAUCAAGAGACCCAUAAAAGUAAGCAUGUAAAAAGUGUUAUGGAAACAGAGCGUGGCCCCUUGGAGCUUUCAAGGCUGGAAGCUGGGCUGUACACAUGCCCUGCAUCCAGCUCCCUCACCCCUUGCUGGGAGCACACGUGGAAGGGCAGUGGGAGUUCAUUGUUUGUGCUGGAAAUGAAUGAGUCCCUUGCAAUGCAGUUUACUGUAAGUGCACCUUUUCACAUGAGCUGGGAUUUUCCAGGCUAACCUCGGCUUUGUUGGUGUGCAUGUGCGUCUUGUACGUCACUGGGAGCACAUUAAUGGCCAUCAGGAACAUUGCUUUUGGAAUCCUCACAGAUAUCCCUAGUGAUCCAAUUUGAAGCACUGCCUGGAAAAUUAUUAACUCCUCUCUUUGGUCUGGAAGGGAUUGCAGGGUUCUGCUGGGCCACUUCGGGCCACGGCCAGCUCAUUCCUGUAGGCAUCUCGUGCUCCUCCCCAGGGCCCUGUGCUUUUAGGGAGUCCUGCACGUAAGCUAUUGUUGCAUCUGAGGCCAAACUGUUCCAUUCAGCAUGGCUUUAUAGAAGUGACUGUGCUACCAAGCCCUUGGGAAAGACUGGGCUCCAAGUGAAAACAGCCCCUGCUCUAAUGUCAGCCCUUUUACCCCUCAUCUCUUGCACAGGAUUCAUCACUGGGGAUAUAUUCUGUGUGUGGAAAUAAUGGCUUCAUAUCUAUGCCAAGUAUUGGGAGUUAGAGUUAGUACAUUAGUAGUACAUGGACAAUUACUGCAACCCGGAUUGCUGAAAGUUGGCAGAAGUUGCCUCUCUCCCUGUGCUGCCAUGGGAUCUUGCAUGUUAAAGCCCAGACAGAGCCAAACUGGGAAUGCUGGAGCUGUAAAAACACAGCUGGCUCAGAGAAUGGCUUCCUUUGGUGAAGGUUUAAAAAAGAAGUUCUGAAGAUUGGUUAGGACAGCUCAUCCUCACACAUAUUAUCAUCAUUUGCUCCAUUAGCUUUGAUCCAGAACCUUCUCCCAGUACUUCAGUUUACAUGGGCUCCCCUUUCUGUCUAUCACAAUAGAAGUAGAAUUAAAGUAUUAAAAUAAAUCCUGUUUCUUUAGCUUUCCAUAUUUCUUCUCAGCCCAGUAAAGGUGCAGGUUUGCUCUUGGUUCCUUGCACCAGACAGGCUGCCCUGACACAGAGCUCUGACCCUCAUGGGGUGCCCCAACUGCCCCUUCCACCUGCAGUGGGGGCUGAAUCUGUCAGGGAUGAAGAAAAAUGUUGCAGAGAUGGGGCAGACAUGAGCUAUGGCCACACAACUGUCUUAACUCAGUAUUUCUGUGCAGCCCUCUGGCUGUUCAGUUCAUGUGCAUGGAGCAACUGGAAGUUAUUGGAAAAAUCUCUUAAUUAUACAGAUUGACUCUCAGAAGAAGCUGUCAGGUGAUAAAAGCCUUAAAAUGAGGAGGAUUCCUGCCUCCAGCAAGGGCAGCAAGUGGCAUGCAGCCCAGUGACUGGAGAGGACUUGCAGCCCCAUGGGGCAUCUCUGGGAGGUCUCUGUGAGGCACAGCCCAAGCCAGGGCCUCUGCAGUCCCAAGGCAGCCCCACAGGGAUCUCUGAAUAAUUCUGUGAGAAUUCCCUGCCCUGGUCCAUCAGCACCAGGCUGACCAGAGCAAUUGCAAACCCUGUGAGCUCCUCCUUAAUCACACCUCUCAGGUGCUGCUGCUCACAGCUUUAUGCUCCUUCAUCCCCCAAGGCCUGUGAUUAGUCCCCAGCAGCCCUGUCAGGAUGCACUUUAUGGUUUAAUUACACAUCCCAGGCUGAUUAAUGUCUCUGCUGCUCAGCCUGUCAGGCCCCAUUAGCUGGCAGCAUCCACAUCCAGCACUGAGCAGGCUGGGGAGAAUGUGCCAAACUCACCCAAUGGCUGCCUUGUCUUUGCUGCAGCUUUUACACAAACUGCUCUGACAUCUCCUCAGCCUUUGCAGAGCUGUCUUGUGAAGGUACAAAAUGAUUGUGAAGGGAUUCAGGGAACACCUGUUCUGGUGGCUGUGGCCAUGGAGGGGCCAGCCGGCCAUGGGCUGUCCUUGGUGGUGACCACAGCUGUGAUCUCCAUCACAGGACAAUCAGAAAGCAUCUCCUUCCCCCAGGCUAAGCUCUGCUCUAGCUGUGC